rnacentral:rRNA from 1 species
GGGAUUGCCCUAGUAACGGCGAGUGAAGCGGCAACAGCUCAAAUUUGAAAUCUGGCGCAAGCCCGAGUUGUAAUUUGUAGAGGAUGCUUCUGGGUAGCGACCGGUCUAAGUUCCUUGGAACAGGACGUCAUAGAGGGUGAGAAUCCCGUAUGUGACCGGCCCGCACCCUUUACGUAGCUCCUUCGACGAGUCGAGUUGUUUGGGAAUGCAGCUCUAAAUGGGAGGUAAAUUUCUUCUAAAGCUAAAUACCGGCCAGAGACCGAUAGCGCACAAGUAGAGUGAUCGAAAGAUGAAAAGUACUUUGGAAAGAGAGUUAAAAAGCACGUGAAAUUGUUGAAAGGGAAGCGCCUGCAAUCAGACUUCGCGGCAGUGUUCCGCCGGUCUUCUGACCGGUUUAUUCUCUGUCGCGAGGCCAUCAUCGUCUCGGCCCGCUGGAUAAGACCUUAGGAAUGUAGCUCACCUUCGGGGGAGUGUUAUAGCUUAUGGUGAUGCAGCGAGGCUGGGGCGAGGUCCGCGCUUCGGCAAGGAUGAUGGCGUAAUGGUUGUCGGCGGCCCGUCUUGAAACACGGACCAAGGAGUCUAACAUCUAUGCGAGUGUUCGGGUGUCAAACCCCUACGCGUAAUGAAAGUGAACGGAGGUGGGAACCGCAAGGUGCACCAUCGACCGAUCCUGAUGUCCUCGGAUGGAUUUGAGUAAGAGCAUAGCUGUUGGGACCCGAAAGAUGGUGAACUAUGCCUGAAUAGGGUGAAGCCAGAGGAAACUCUGGUGGAGGCUCGCAGCGGUUCUGACGUGCAAAUCGAUCGUCAAAUUUGGGUAUAGGGGCG